UACGUAGGGGGCAAGCGUUGUCCGGAAUUAUUGGGCGUAAAGGGCGCGUAGGCGGUUCGCUAAGUUGAAUGUGAAAACUCUGGGCUUAACCCAGAGCCUGCAUCCAAAACUGGCGAACUGGAGUACUGGAGGGGAAAGCGGAAUUCCUGGUGUAGCGGUGAAAUGCGUAGAUAUCAGGAGGAACACCGGUGGCGAAGGUGGCUUUCUGGACAGUAACUGACGCUGAGGCGCGAAAGCCGGGGGAGCAAACAGG
rnacentral:rRNA from 1 species